UUUGGUGACGAUAGCAAAGAGGAUACACCUGUUCCCAUCCCGAACACAGUAGUUAAGCUCUUUAGCGCCGAUGGUAGUUGGGGGUUUCCCCCUGUGAGAGUAGGACGUUGCCAAGC
rfam:Brochothrix thermosphacta DSM 20171 = FSL F6-1036 c24, whole genome shotgun sequence.